CGAAGGAUCCAAGCGUUGUCCGGAUUUACUGGGUUUAAAGGGUGCGUAGGCGGGCUAUUAAGUCAGUGGUGAAAGCUUGCAGCUUAACUGUAAAAUUGCCAUUGAAACUGAUAGCCUCGAAUAUGGUUGAGGUGGUUGGAAUGUAUCAUGUAGCGGUGAAAUGCUUAGAUAUGAUACAGAACACCGAUUGCGAAGGCAGAUCACUAAACCAUUAUUGACGCUGAGGCACGAAAGCGUGGGGAUCAAACAGGAUUAGAUACCCUGGUAGUCCACGCCCUAAACGUUGCAUACUCGGUUUUAGCGAUAUACCGUUAGGACCCAAGCGAAAGCGUUAAGUAUGCCACCUGGGAAGUACGUCCGCAAGGAUG
rnacentral:rRNA from 1 species